GUUAAACUUUUUGUUUCAGAAACUCCAAAUGUAGCAAACAAAUCACAUUCUCAUGAUGCUGACGGUGCAUUGAUGAAGAAUGAUGGAGAUGAACAUGCAAAGGGAAGUCCACCUUCCACUUAUGCUUUUAAAAAGAGACAUUGAGGCUGCUCAUUUUACAUAUUGAUUUGGGUAACAAUCCUAUUCCUGAAUAUCCAUCAAACGAAAUUGUUGUUGGUGUGAUUACCAUGGAAGAUGUCAUUAAAAAGCUUCUUCAGGAGGAGGUAUUGGAUGAAACUGAUGAGUAUGUUAACAUCCACAACAGGCUAGAUAAGCGAGUUCUGAUUUGAAAAAGAAAAUCUUUAUUAUUUUAAAAUAAUAAAGGUAUUGUUAAAAUGUAGGAUAAGGAUCAACAUGAAUGCAUCAAAGGAAAACCUUCUUUAUCACCUCUCACUGCAGAUUGGUUCAGGUGCUACAGCAAAAUAACAAUACAUCUUCUUUGGAGAUUACUUUCAAGAUAUAGUGCCGUUAGUUCAAUGGGUUUCUUUUAGGACCUUAUGUACAUAUGGAGCUUGCACAAGGAGGAGCAGGU